UACGUAGGUGGCAAGCGUUGUCCGGAAUUAUUGGGCGUAAAGCGCGCGCAGGCGGUCUUUUUAAGUCUGAUGUGAAAGCCCACGGCUCAACCGUGGAGGGUCAUUGGAAACUGGGAGACUUGAGUGCAGAAGAGAAGAGUGGAAUUCCACGUGUAGCGGUGAAAUGCGUAGAGAUGUGGAGGAACACCAGUGGCGAAGGCGACUCUUUGGUCUGUAACUGACGCUGAGG
rnacentral:rRNA from 1 species